GCACAAGCGGUGGAGCAUGUGGUUUAAUUCGACGCAACGCGAAGAACCUUACCAGGGCUUGACAUCCCCUGACCGCGUAUGAAAGUACGUUUUCACCCUCGGGUGACAGGGAGACAGGUGGUGCAUGGUUGUCGUCAGCUCGUGUCGUGAGAUGUUGGGUUAAGUCCCGCAACGAGCGCAACCCCUACGUUUAGUUGCUAACGCGUGAAGGCGAGCACUCUAGACGAACUGCCGUUGACAAAACGGAGGAAGUGGGGAUGACGUCAAAUCAUCAUGCCCCUUAUGUUCUGGGCUACACACGUGCUACAAUGGCCGGUACAGACGGACGCAAAGCCGCGAGGUGGAGCAAAUCCUAAAAAGCCGGUCUCAGUUCGGAUUGCAGGCUGCAAUUCGCCUGCAUGAAGUCGGAAUCGCUAGUAAUCGCGGAUCAGCACGCCGCGGUGAAUACGUUCCCGGGCCUU
rnacentral:rRNA from 1 species